UAAACUCGUUGAUUAACGAGAGACUUUAACAGUUAAAUUACCUUUAUGAAUCAUACACGAUAACAAUCACCAGAGCACAGUUAAAUGAUUAUUACGAAUUUAUGGUGAAGCGUAAUGAACGGUCUGCGCAUGAGCAAGAGAAAAUAAAACUGCCAUCUUUAGAGGGAAAAAGUCAGGGAAUUUUUUUAUAUAUAUAUAUAUAGACACUGGAAAAUACAUCGGUGGCUUUCACACAGAAAGCGCUGGAUUUUAUGCGGAUAAUGUAGGAAUGUUCUCCCUCUCUAGGGAACUCAAACAGUCCUUCAGACUCCGUGGAGUCUUUCCUUCACUUAAAGAAACACUGAAACUCGAUACGGUUAACUGAGUCGAUAAGCUCCCCUGACAACAGUCAGCUGGUUAACUAGUUAGCUAGCAGUUAGCUAGCUGACGUUCAGUAUACUUUGCUACAUUAAGCGUAAUGAACGUCACCCUCCGCUAAGGACAAUAUCAUACUGAGCCGCAACAACAGAAGUCACAGACUUCCUUUCAUGAUCGCAGUGACGGAUCCUCACAUAGUUACUUGGAUAAGCACGACUGCUACUCAAAUCCAGCGCUCCGAUUCCUCUGUUACACCUGACUGCCUGCAGAGAGCGGACAGCAAUAUCAAAAGUACAAUGGAUGGAUCUAAUGCAAAAUGAAACUUCCGGGGGCGUCCUUUCGAAAUAAAAGAAGAGGCUUCAUCCUUUGACGGUCAAGAAAGAGCAGCUAAGAGACCACUCUUGGUCGGAAGUGAUCAUUAAAAUAAAUAAAUAAAUAAAUAAAUAAAUAAAUAAAUAAAUAAA